UACGUAGGGUGCGAGCGUUGUCCGGAAUUACUGGGCGUAAAGAGCUCGUAGGCGGUUUGUUGCGUCGGCUGUGAAAACCUGGGGCUUAACUCCGGGCCUGCAGUCGAUACGGGCAGACUUGAGUUCGGCAGGGGAGACUGGAAUUCCUGGUGUAGCGGUGAAAUGCGCAGAUAUCGGGAGGAACACCGGUGGCGAAGGCAGCUCGCUGGGACGUUACUGACGCUGAGACGCGAAAGCGUGGGGAGCAAACAGG
rnacentral:rRNA from 1 species